CCUACGGGUGGCAGCAGUGAGGAAUAUUGGUCAAUGGGCGCGAGCCUGAACCAGCCAAGUCGCGUGAGGAAAGACGGCCCUACGGGUUGUAAACCUCUUUUGCCGGGGAGCAACGGGCGCCACGUGUGGCGCCACUGAGAGUACCCGGAGAAAAAGCAUCGGCAAACUCCGUGCCAGCAGCCGCGGUAAUACGGAGGAUGCGAGCGUUAUCCGGCUUUAUUGGGUUUAAAGGGUGCGUAGGCGGAGCGUUAAGUCAGUGGUACAAUUGAGGGGCUCAACCCCUUCCCGCCAUUGAAACUGGCGCUCUUGAGUGGAAGAGAGGGAUGCGGAAUGCGUGGUGUAGCGGUGAAAUGCAUAGAUAUCACGCAGAACCCCGAUUGCGAAGGCAGCAUGCCGGCUUCCUACUGACGCUGAAGCACGAAAGCGUGGGGAUCGAACAGGAUUAGAUACCCUUGUAGUC
rnacentral:rRNA from 1 species